rnacentral:rRNA from 1 species
GACGAACGCUGGCGGCGCGCUUAACACAUGCAAGUCGAGCGAGAACCAGGGCUUCGGCCCUGGGGACAGCGGCGAACGGGUGAGUAACACGUGGAUAACCUGCCCUCGACACCGGGAUAGCCCGGGGAAACCCGGAUUAAUACCGGAUGGCCCUUCCGGCUUUCGAGCCGGUCGGAAAAGGUAGCUUCGGCCUCCGGCCGAGGAUGGGUCCGCGGCGGAUUAGCUUGUUGGUGGGGUAACGGCCUACCAAGGCUCCGAUCCGUAGCUGGUCUGAGAGGACGAUCAGCCACACUGGGACUGAGACACGGCCCAGACUCCUACGGGAGGCAGCAGUGGGGAAUCUUGCGCAAUGGGCGAAAGCCUGACGCAGCGACGCCGCGUGAGGGAGGAAGGCCUUCGGGUUGUAAACCGCUUUCAGGAGGGACGAAGCUACUCGGGUGAAUAGCCCAGAGGGUGACGGUACCUCCAGAAGAAGCCCCGGCUAACUACGUGCCAGCCGCCGCGGUAAAAC